UAAUACAGAGGGUGCGAGCGUUAAUCGGAAUUACUGGGCGUAAAGCGCACGUAGGCGGCUUGGUAUGUCGGGUGUGAAAUCCCCGGGCUCAACCUGGGAACUGCAUCCGAAACUGCCUUGCUCGAGUAUGGGAGAGGGAAGCGGAAUUUCCGGUGUAGCGGUGAAAUGCGUAGAUAUCGGAAGGAACAUCAGUGGCGAAGGCGGCUUCCUGGACCAAUACUGACGCUCAGGUGCGAAAGCGUGGGGAGCAAACAGGAUUAGAUACCCUGGUAGUCCACGCCCUAAACGAUGACAACUGGAUGUCGGGAGGGUUUGCCUUCCGGUGUCGUAGCUAACGCGUUAAGUUGUCCGCCUGGGAAGUACGGCCGCAAGGUUGAAACUUAAAGGAAUUGACGG
rnacentral:rRNA from 1 species